CUGCUGCUCAUAACGCACGGCUGGAAUUGCUCCCACAUGCCAAGAAAGCACUGUCCUGCUGUGAUUUACUGGACGCUGCUAAACAGAGAUCUCUGGCUGGAAAACCCAAGGCUGGACGCUGAGCAGAUGGCAAUGGUGGCUGAGAUUUAUCGGAAAGGAGACGUUCUUGUCUUGGUGCAGCUCAUACUUUACGAGUGCUUGCCACCUUCUGGUUUGAGAAAGGAUUACAACCGUUAAACUACUGGGAAUUGAGAGGAAAUCGACUGUAAAAACUCUGGUCCUGUUCCUAAUCCCCCUAAAAGGAUUGACGGAUUUGCAAAGUGCCAUAAUGCCUGUCAGAGAAUUUGGAAAUGAAAGGAUGGAUGAUGCUGUCGAUAUCCUUGAAGAAUGCCCUUUAACCAUUGUGUAAAAUAUUAAGGGAAAAUACUGACAGCAGGAGCAAUGGAAAAUUAAUCUUAAAAGCGAAAUAGGUGCAAAGCUUCCAAAAAGAAAAGAAUUUUGAAAUAGUGAACAUUUUUUCUCACAAAAAUGUUUGCAGAUUUUGACCAAUCUGACACUUCCACUCAAUCCUAUCAGCUGUCAUUUGUCUGCCCAGCUUCAGUGAUGCCACUUAAAAUGAUUACAUCUGCCCUUUGUGCAAGAGGAGGAUGCACAGUAUCUGUAAAAAAAGCAACUUUACAGUCAUGGCUACUCAAAUAAUACGAAUAGCACUACAAAAAAAGUCAGAAUUACCUUAUUCAGUCAUUUUCAAUUUAGCCAGAUGAGUGUUUUCACAACACGCGUGUACUUCAUGAAGGCUAGUAAACACUUUUUCUAAUGGAUAUCACAUUGUCUGGCUUCAUGUAAUUCAAACUUCAUUUCAGAUGUCACAGUUUAGUCCUUAAAAACCAUUUAUAUUUAAUUUACCAUGAUCUUAAUAGAAGGCACCAGAGUAUCUGAACACAUUCCAGCAGUGUAUGAAGCACUGUGACUAACAUAUGCCAUUUGUUUGUUCAAUUUGUUCCUUCCCAGCAUGGGACAAAUGGGCAGCAAAGCACUUCUUUCUGUGUGUUUUUAUAAUAUGCACAAAGAACUAUGUUUGUAUUGGGAAAGGCAGGUCUGAACCAAUAUCCCUCACACACAGAGAGAAAAGCAGUGAGGUUUUGAUGCUCCCCAGUCGUUGUCAGGUCACAUAAGGAUUUUGGCCGGCACUCCAAAAAUGGUUGGUUGAUUUCUCGGAUAUAACUUGACCUUGCUGAUCUUCUCACUGUAGGGUACAAGCACGGCAGAGUCCCUGCUUACCUUCGCUAAUCAGAACAGAUUUGCUGUAUCCCCCCACUGGGUCUGUACGAUGACUGUGGUUGCAGCAAGAUGAGCAGCAGCCAUUUGCCCACUUUGACUCCCUAAGAAGGCUGGGGAAGAGAAGCCGAAAAUUGGAGGAGAGCUGGCAGCCUGUGUUCACUCCCUGUCCAUCUUUCCCUGGGGCUGUGCUUGGUGCUACAGCCAUUUCUGAGGGCCAGGAGCCACGCUCAGCUGAGGAAGCAGCCACCAGUGAUGGCCAUCUUCAGGUUUGCCCUGAACCCUCCAGAGCAGACCCAGGCCCACUUUGAGACUGUGAGGUUUUGAGCGUCAGGCACAGCCUGGCAGCUUGCUCUGACUUUGCUGCAUUCGUUGCUGUCUCUUAAGCAACAUUCAUCUGCAUUUCUCACAACAAUUCCUUUUUCUGUUUUUUUUUUUCUUUUCUUUUUUUUUUUUUUUCUUCUCAUCCUUAGGAUCAGGGUGCUGUUUUCUUAGAUUUGUUCUUGUGAAUCACUUCUGCUUAGUAGAUCGCUUUGUAACCACUUUGAGAAUACCAGGCAAUCAAAGUUUCAUUGCUAUGACUGUUCACUUAAAUGAUACAAUAUGUAUCUGCUCAUUAUGUGGUUGAAUGGCUUCCAGAUUUCCCAGUGCAUGCAUCUGAGGACGAUAUAUUUAAAAUUCCCACUUGGCAAAUGUUUUUCAAUACUGUCUUAAAUAAACUAGUUUCCAUGGAUGUUCUUGCCAAUACAUUUAUUAGUUCUGAUCUCUGGGCUUUAUCCAAACUGACCGGUCAUUUGUCAGUCAAAAUAUACAGAUGCAAAUGGUUGUGCCAUGAAAAAAAAAAAAGGAAUUUUAGUUUCCAGUUCUUUCCAUGCUUGUGGUGGUGUUUUUCAUUCUGAGUACGGGACAUUUUCAGAAGGCGAAUUGUGAAACUGCUGUAGUAUCUGUUGCCUUUCUGAACACACGUGAGGCUCCACGAGGGUAUGUAACAGCAUGGCGAGAAACCAUUCCCAUCGCAGGAACAAACGAAGCUGAAUUUAUCUUGCCAUGCCAUUCACAAUUGAAAUGAAUAAAGACCCACAGGACUGCGUGCCAUUGGAUGGUGCCAAAUACAACCUUACAUGAGCUCCCUGCUAUCUGAAGGCUCCUGCUGCUUGCUGUAGCUCAUCACCAGGCAAACGGAUGAUUUAGUGCGUGCGAGUGUAGCCAUAAACCAAAAGCUUCCAGAUGAAAUAAUGCUCUCUCACUCUCAACAGAAGCAAUUACAAUGUAGCUGUCUGUACAGCCUUUAACAUUGCUACUAAAAGGCUGAGCUACUCUAAAGUGCACAGUGAUAGAGCUGAGUUUCUCCGGCUGAGUAGUUUUUGCACCUGCUGAACACAUCCUAAAGCCUCGGGAAUCUUAAAGGAAGCCAGAAAAAGUCUACACAGCCUCACAGAGCGUGUGUUUUGGACGUGAAUACAUAACUUGCAUAUAAAAUAUAUACGCAUUCCUUCCUUUAUACACACACAUGCACAUAUGGUGAGAAAGCAAUGUCUUAUUUUGCUAUAUUUCUAAAAUAAAUCACUACUUUCAUAGGAUAAUUGAAAGAUGCUCACAGUUCUUCUAGUAUGGACUUAGAAUGAAUUUUCAUGAGAAAUAUCUUAUUUUCCCACAAAAUAUAUCCAGAGCAGAUAGAGUUUUCAGGAGCAAGUAAAAGAUACUCAGUAUUCCCUCACUUUAAUUCAAACAAUUCUUGGUGUUUCAAAAGUUUGACGAUAGCCCCACAGAAAAGAGCAUUCCUCUGCCAGCUCUACUGGUUGCCUCAAAGCAUUCAAGCGCUUUGUGCAACUUAAAGAUCAAAUUCUUCAUGAGAUGACAUCUAGAAAUCAAUGCCAUACACAUUGUGCAGCCUUUGCCAUGAAGCAUCGUGCUCUGGCGUGCUGCCUGCCCUCCUCUCCUUGACCCAAAGAUCUUUGGAAUGCAUAGAGGCUGAGGGGUCAGCCUGUGAAACACAAGCAAAUCGAUGCUGGGAACUCAGACUGAAAAGAGCUGUAUGCAGUCCAUAUUUAUGGCCAGAAGGGUGUACUAGCCAAGUCUUCCCAAUCAGAGAUAUGCCAGAGGUCUUAGCAUUGCUCAAUAAGUCAGUAUCAGCCUCAUAAUUUGAUUUGUAGACCUCAAGAUGUAAGGAGGUCACCAUUUCUCUAAGCAGUUCAUUAUGUGAUUAAUUAACUUCAAAGCUUAAGCAGAUAUCACCCUGUACUUCUCACUUGACUAUGUCUGGCUUGACAAUCUUUCCCAGUGUACACUUGCUUCUGUACUUUAACUGUAUAAAAUACUUCUCUGAGGUUGUCUCCUAUAGAUGGGACUUCCUAAUUGUUUCUGGGACUUGAUAUUAUGACUCUGUAAAAUGUUUUGCUGUGUGAUCCGAGUCUGCAGGUAAGAUAAGUUCAGGACACGGUUGAACAGCAAAAAUUUUCUGUACAUAACACAGGAUUAAAUUCACCAUGAUACAACAUACCAUUUUGCUGCCUGAAGUCUUGAAGCCAUUUGUAUAGGCCAAAUAACCAACUGAUUCAUCCACAAUCAGAAAUGACUUCAUACUUCCCUGCUACCCCUUGAUGAAAUAUAUAUGACAAUGUAGCCCCAAAGUAGAAUCACUUCCAGAAUACCUACUUAAGAGAUACACCUUUGCUAGUGAUUUUCUAGGUAUCAUUUAGGAUUCGCUAGUCAAUUCCUUGUCCAUAUACUAUAUUUAUGAUUGUUUUGGAUGUUUAAUGAAACUUUGAGGCAAUUCCAUUUGAAACACCUCAAAGAAUUGUAACAUGAUAGAUUAAGAGAAAGAAUAGCUUGGGGAAAUACAAAGCACAAUCAGC
ensembl:lncRNA